rnacentral:rRNA from 1 species
CUACGGGACGCUGCAGUGAGGAAUUUUGCGCAAUGGGGGAAACCCUGACGCAGCAACGCCGCGUGAGUGAUGAAGGCCUUCGGGUCGUAAAACUCUGUCAAGUGGGAAGAACCUAUGUAAGGUUAAUACCCUUAUGUACUGACGGUACCACUGAAGGAAGCACCGGCUAACUCCGUGCCAGCAGCCGCGGUAAUACGGAGGGUGCAAGCGUUAUUCGGAAUUAUUGGGCGUAAAGGGCGCGCAGGCGGUUUUGUAAGUCAGAUGUGAAAGCCCGGGGCUUAACCUCGGGAGUGCAUUUGAUACUGCAAGACUUGAGUAUGGGAGGGGGAAGUGGAAUUCCUGGUGUAGAGGUGAAAUUCGUAGAUAUCAGGAGGAACACCAGUGGCGAAGGCGACUUCCUGGACCAAUACUGACGCUGAGGCGCGAAGGCGUGGGGAGCAAACAGGAUUAGAUACCCCUGUAGUC